AGCAAGCUUUUCAGGUUUUAGAUUUUCAGACUGUCAGAAUGUCAAAUUUUGUUGCUGCUCUGUUCUUUAUUUACAGCUUCUAGGAGUGCAGUUGCAGACCAUUCAAAAGAAUUUCGAACGUCUCCUUCAUUCAGAAUUUUGUAGCAGGUCGAAUAAACAGAUAUUGGCUUGUAGUUUCGUUUGACUAAGUCAGGCUCUCAACAUUGAGCAGAUGAUUUCAAUUGCUGAUGUAGGAGUUCGCUUG
rnacentral:lncRNA from 1 species